AUGUUUUCAACUUUUCUGUGUCUGAAAUUGCUUACUCGUUCACUCAUUCACUAAUCCCUACAUAGUGUGUGGCAGAUGAGUGGACUAGCAAUAUCAGAGUGAACAAAAUAAGUGAACGGAUUAGGACGUUGACGUAUACACUGCGCGUGACACUUGGAGCAGUUGCAAAAACAUCAUUACAUAUACACCUUUAUAUUACAUGUAAAUAUUAAAUGCCAAUAACGCUCAAAUUACUUUAUUGUAAUUAUACAUAUACGUCAGCUUUGGGUUUUCAUUGAUGGUAUUAUUUAUUUGUUUGUAAUCCUUUGUUCAUAAUCAUAUUAAAAUAUUGAGAACAAAAAUGGAACACACAUUAACACAAUUUUAUUGUAAUUAUUUUUUUUAGUAUCCUGAAACUCUCCCGAGCAGCGUGAGCUCAUAAGAUAAUGGUCAUAAAGCGGCCAAUGAACCAUAAAUAAAACAUAACAUUACAAACAAAUGUCAUAACUUAUUCAAACAUUUUAUACUAUUAUAGAUAUUAUUUACAUAUAAUUGUAUAACGUUUUAUUUUUCAUUGUUAUAUGUUUAACUGUGACUAUGUUAAGAUUAAUUUUAAUAUGCCAGUAAAAAUACUGCAGACUUUCUCCGGGUCUCAUAUAUUUAUUAAAAUUAAGUAAAACAAAACGCUAAAUGUUUACUUUGGAGAGCCGUCAAGUAUUUGCGAGAGCGAAUUUAAAGCUUGCAGGCACACCGGCCGCGCGCAGCGUCUUCUGUGAUUUCUAACGGCUCGGUUCUCUCAAGUCUGCACUCGAUGCAUCCUCGAUAUCAAGAACACAUCCGGGCACUUCCAUGCGUCCUCUGUACUUGCGUUCUUGAGAAUUGGAAUUGAACUUCGACGGUUAAUGAUGACGAUCCUCAAGGUCUAAGCGAAACCACAUCACCCCGCCUCCAUUCAGAUUGACGCGCCGUGCACAGCCUGUAGGAGACAGAUCUCCGCUUUUUCGCAAUGCAAGGAGCGUUUUAUGCAGUUUCCCGUCUGGUUGCCUGGUUCUCGUCCUUGUUUCUCUGUGCUGUUUGAUUCGCUGUUGUCUUCCCCGGAACCC
ensembl:lncRNA